rnacentral:lncRNA from 1 species
UUCCUGUGUUCUCAGCACCAAGGUAGGAGAUCUAGGCCCUUCCCUUCUGGAGCUCACAGCCUUCUAGGCCCUCUUCCAUCCAGCAGACUCUCACCAAGGGUCUGAACAGUGCUUGAGGACACAAUGGUGGCUAAAAGUCCUGGGCCCUGCACCGUUAGAGCUCAAGGUCCAGUGGCAGAAAAUAGGCCCGGUGCCCUGACAAUAAGAGCCCAGAGUGGUCAGGGCAGGAUGGGGGCGCUGACCUGUGGGUGAGGGGGCCCUUCCUGAAGGAACUGUCCACCCCCAAGUCUCCUCUGGGGCUUUCCAGCUUCUCCAGUCUGCCACGCCCAGCCAGCUCACCGUGCUCUAAGUCUCGGUGGGCACCUCUAUCUCUGUCUCUGUGGGUACCCCUCCAUUUCUUGUCUCUAAGCUUCUAUAUCCCUGUUGGUCUCUGUUCUCUCCCUUGGAGCUGGGAAAUGAAAAAGGAGGAGAGACCCAGAUAGAACAGAGACUUGGGGUCUGUUCCCCUCUUUUCCCAGCUCCAAGCUGGCCUCUGCCUGUCUGAAGAGGUGUCUGUGCAGGGCCUUGAAUGCCAGGCUGAGAGCUUAAGCUUUACGCAGAAGGCAGCAGCAAGCCCCAAAAAGCUGAGAAAAUUCAAGCAGCAGCAAGGUCCCGGGCAGCACAGAUGUGUGCUGUAGAAAGGGCCCUGUGACCGGCUGGGUGCGGUGGCGCACGCCUGUAAUCCCAGCACUUUGGGAGGCAGGCAGAUCACGAACCAGCCUGGCCAACAUAGUGAAACCCUGUCCCUACUGAAAAAUACAAAAAUUAGUUGGGCGUGGUGGCGGGCACAUGUAGUCCCAGCUACUUGGGAGGGCUGAGGCAGGAGAAUUGCUUGAACCUGGUAAAAGGAGGUUGCAGUGAGCUGAGAUCGCGCCACUGCACUCUAGCCUUAGCGACAGAGUGAGAUUCUGUCUCAAAAAAAAAAAAAAAACGCCCUGCGACCACCACUGUGGCUGGAAGUCUAGAAGAAGGCUGGGGCAGGGACUGGGCCAGAGGAGGGAGAUGGCAGGUUUGAGUAUGGGGAGGAGUGGAGGGUCUCCCAGGGACACAGCCAUCAGAACCCUCCAUUAGGAGGGAGCAGGUUGGGCAGGACUUUGUGGGGCAUAAGUUGGGGGGUGAACAAUACCAAGGCCUCUCAGGGACCGAGGUCCCCCAGGAGAGGUGUCGAAUUUCUCCUGUUCCUGUCUUCCCCGCCUUACUGCCCCCUCUCUGACGUCACAUUUUCCAGUCUGGUCAGAGGGUGAGAGCCUCCCUCCCUGGCAGGAAGUGCCCUUUAGCCCCCUGCCACCUGGGCCAGACCACCCAGCCCCAGGAUCCUCAAAGAUGCAUGUGAUUCUCACUUCCAAGUGGGAGCAGAACAGCAGGUACACGUGGACAUGCAGAGUGGGGUAACAGGCACUGCAGACUCCAAAAGGUGGGAGCGUGGGGGAAGCUGAACAGUUACCAGUUGGGUACGUUGCUCACUAUUCGGGUGCACUAAAGGCCCAGGCCAGUAUACUGGAUAUACUGACAUAUAUCCGGUAAGGAAUCUGCACUUGUACCCCCUAAAGGUUUAUCUUUUUUUUUAAUGCACACAAGUCUUCCUGAGAACAAGAAGAGACACACACAGAUAGAAUGUGGCAAGCAGAGGUAGAGAUGGCGCUGUGAGCAGGGGGCUCAGAGGCAGAGAUGAGAACCAUCAGAGACUGUGCAGUGGGAAGGGGGACGGGGAGAAAACCAAUAGACAGAUGGAGACGGACAAGGAGAUGAGAUAGGAACACUCAGACAGAUGGGGAGGGACAGAGAUGUCAGAAGAGACCAGGUGACAAAGCCUCACUGGAGUCAGGCCCGUGGCAACAGAGACCCAGUUUUAGAGAUGCCAACCUGAAGAAAGAGGGCAGAGAGACAUGGAGAGACAGACAAGAGGCCAGUUUCAAGGACGGGAAGCCAGGACUCCCUUCAGGCGCCCACGCUGGGCGGAUAGAGGGACCAGUGAUGCUCCAGGGCUCUGUGGCUCACCUCACACUGAUUCCAAUCCCAGUCCCACUCCCACUCCAUGGGACCCCCGGUUUACUUUUCUGUAAAAUGGAAGGAGGAGCAAUGCCACCUGCUCUCCAGAACGGCAAGUAGUUAAUGAUCAAGAGGCUGGGCUGGGGAUUGGAAGAUGCCUAUAUGCAAAAGUUAUUUUUAAUGGUAAAUAUUACAUACUUAUUAAAAUACAGCAGGACGGCUGGGCACGGUGGUGGCUCAUGCUUCUAAUUACAGCACUAAGGCUAAGGCAGGUGGAUAGCUUGCGGCCAGGAGUUUGAGACCAGCCUGGCCAACAUGGCAAAACCCCAUCUCUACUAAAAAUGCAAAAAUUAGCCUAGGCAUGGUGGCUCACGCCUGUAAUCCCAGCACUUUGGGAGACCGAGGCAAGUGGAUCACUUGAGGUCAGGAGUUCGAGACCAGCCUGGCCAACAUGGCAAAACCCCGUCUCUACUAAAAAUGCAAAAAAUUAGCCGGGCAUGGUGGCGCUUGCCUGUAAUCCCAGCUACUUAGAAGGCUGAGGCACCGGAAUUGCUUGAACCCGGGAGGCAGAGGUUGCAGUGAGCUGAGAUCGCACCACUGCACUCCAGCCUGGGCGACAGAGCGAGACUCCAUCUCAAAAAAUAUUUUAUAUAUAUAUAUAGGACACCCAGUUAUUGAAUUUUACAUGAACAAUUUUAUAGUUUAGGUAUGUCCUAAAUAUUUCAUGUAU